UACUGUUAAUGAUGAUUUUGAAAAAUGGGAAUCUCUCUGAAUGAGUGUGAAAGACUCUAGCAUUCCUGAAACAGUA
ensembl:snoRNA SNORD79 Small nucleolar RNA SNORD79